rnacentral:lncRNA from 1 species
CAAACCCUCCCCUGUAAUGUCACCGUCCACUGUCGCCGGAAAUUGCCCCAGAGCUUCACCUCCUCCCCCUCAUACCCAUGCCACCACACGCUCCUUUUGAAUCUCACUAGGAACCGGAAAAUUCUCCAAACGCUAGGGUGACGCCUUUGAAUCCUCUGCCGCAGCCGGCGGAGCCACCACCCAAAUAGCCCCAAAUUAACACCUCCAAACCCCCUUGACUCCCUCAUCCGAAAUACCCAAUCUGUUACUCUCGAAACUCAUCAAAACUCCUCGAAUCUGCUUUGAAAGAGAACCCUAGAAAUUUCAAAGUCCAAGUCAACGAAUCUAUGGAGGAUUUUAGACCAUAGUGACCCUUAUGCAUGUGUUUAAUAAGAAAACACACGAUUAAAGGUUAUUCUGGUCCAGAAUUCGGAAGCCCUUAAUAAUUGGUCAAAUCAGCUCUUAGCUCGAUUUCAGGUUUUAUUCUUUCAUUUCUAUUUGUUCAUAUUUUUCUUCCACGUAUCUGCUUCCUCACCCUUCUUUUGAACCCUCUUGCCUUCUCAGUUUUAGAAUAUCAUUUACAUACAUGAUAGUUUGUAGGAAAUAUUCUUUUAUUUGAUAAGCAUAAACAAUCUAUUAUUAUUUUAGUUUCAUUUUUAGUUGUUUGUUCAGUGGUGGAAUUUUCAGAAUUACUCAAAUCAUUUCUAUUUUUGCCUGUUUCAUUUUUGAUUCAUAAAUUUGGUCUAAUGGUGUUUGGGUUUAAAUAUCAGUAUUGGGCUGGUUAUCCAAUGAGUCAGCCCGGGGUCAACUUGACCAAUAACUCACUUGAUGACUCAAGGCUUAAAUUCAGGGUAUCUAAGGGGCAUUUCAAUAGAUUAGAUGAAAGGAAUCUUUGGAUAACAUAUUUAGAAGCUUCUAGUUGGGAUUUGUAUUAAAUUUUCAGACAAUGACUUGACCAACAAGUCAUAAAAUUAAGGAUGAAGUAGCAAAAUAAGAAAUUCAAGAAGGGACUAAAAGGCAAUUUGAAAUCUGAAGUUGUACCCUAAUUUUUAUCCUAUAAAGACAUUGAAACCUUAGGAUAAAAUCAUAUUUAGGAGGAGAAAAUUCAAAAAAAAAGAAGAAAAAAUCGGCUAGAAAUUAGGCAAAAAAGUAUUGUUCUAUUGGUUUUGUAUUUCAACAUGGAGAAUUUUCAAAUUGCUGAAGCUAGUUAGGCUUUAUUUUGAGUUGAAAUGGACUAAGAUCGAGUCUAUUUGAAGUUUUCUGGUUCAUUUCUUGGCUGAAGCUGGGUUUUGGGGAUGUUCUUACUUCAUUUUCUGGUUUUACUGGUGCUUAUUCUGUUGUUUUGUCACUGCUGUUGGGUCUGUGAUUAUUCUACUGUGUUCACUUCAUAUUUUUCAGGUAUUUUCUUAACCUUGAAUGUCAAGAGAUGUUGAAACAUGUAGAUUGAAGAUGGUUUGAAUACAGGCUGUUGUUUGGGGCUGGUUUUCUUUUCUUAUUCCCCUGUUACUUCAAUUUGUUCUGUAAUAGAUAUGUAGUCGUACAUGUGGUUUGUGUUAUAUACCUAAGCAUUAAGGCUGUAUGUAUACUUGACAGUAG